AACUAAGUUUGUUAUUGGUAUGAGCUUUCGUGUGCAUGCACACUUCUUCAGAUACAUCUGAAGUGUGUCUGAAGAAGUGUGCAUGCACACAAAAGCUCAUAUCUUUAACAAACUUAGUUGG
rnacentral:miRNA from 1 species